GACGAACGCUGGCGGCGUGCUUAACACAUGCAAGUCGAACGGAAAGGCCCUGCUUUUGUGGGGUGCUCGAGUGGCGAACGGGUGAGUAACACGUGAGUAACCUGCCCUUGACUUUGGGAUAACUUCAGGAAACUGGGGCUAAUACCGGAUAGGAGCUCCUGCUGCAUGGUGGGGGUUGGAAAGUUUCGGCGGUUGGGGAUGGACUCGCGGCUUAUCAGCUUGUUGGUGGGGUAGUGGCUUACCAAGGCUUUGACGGGUAGCCGGCCUGAGAGGGUGACCGGCCCCAUUGGGACUGGGAUACGGCCCAGACUCCUACGGGAGGCAGCAGUGGGGAAUAUUGCACAAUGGGCGGAAGCCGGAUGCAGCAACGCCGCGUGCGGGAUGACGGCCUUCGGGUUGUAAACCGCUUUCGCCGGUGACGAAGCGUGAGUGACGGUAAUGGGUAAAGAAGCACCGGCUAACUACGU
rnacentral:rRNA from 1 species